rnacentral:tmRNA from 1 species
GCCCUUUCACAUCCCGCCGCUUCAUCUUAUAUUCGGGCUGCCGGCGACGGUCGGAUAUGGCGAUAAACGGUCGACGUAAUAAGCUCAUCGGACCCGGGGGCGGUACCCGGCGCCUCCACCUGAGCCCGCUUCGGACAAGCGGGUUGAGGUGGGGGCGAAAUAGGAUCGACGAGAGUGUAAAGGUCGUGCUUUCGCCCGGCAUGGUACCGCCGUUAUCGGACCAAACCUAUAGUUGCCAAUGACAACUAUGCUGAGGCUCGCCUCGCCGCGUGAUGCGGUGCGGUACCUCUAAUUAAGCCCUUGCUGUUAGCGCAGUAAGGCGGGGUUCGGGGGCACCUGGCAACAGAAGCCCUCACU